CGGGGAGCGGCGGGGACGGGGCUGGCAGUGCCCGGCGGCAGCGGCAGGAGGAGCUGCCACCGCCCGCCCCCCGCCCAGCCCGGCACCGCCCGCCGCCCCCCCGCAGCCCGGGGGCCCGGCGCGCCCCGGGGGAGCAUGGAGCGGCGCGGGGGGCGGCAGCAGGAUUCCGGAGGUAGCGUUUCCGAACGGAGGGAAUGGAGACCGGUGGUUGACAGGAAGUGCACGGACACGCCCUGGUUGCUCCUCUUCUUUCUUUUCUGGGCUGGUUUGAUGUUUAUAACUGGCUAUGCUGUGAUGGCCGGUGCCACAGAAAGGCUUGUGCUUGGAUAUGACAGCUUCGGGAACAUCUGUGGUAGGAAGAACACUCCUGUAAAAGGGGCACCCCUUUCUGGACAGGACAUGACUAAUAAAAAGUAUGUGUUCUUUCUGAAUUCAUGCAGCCUGGAAAUGCAAAGCCUCAAAAUCAGUUCAGUUUCCUUGUGCGUGUCUAGUUGUCCACAAGAGCAACUCAACUCUUUGGAAGACCUCCAGAGUUUUGCAAGGAAUAAUGGUUCUUGUCUUUGUGUUUACAACCUGAACGUUUCUAGUUACACCCUAAAUCCAAAGGCAGCUGAGCUGUGUCCCGCACUGCCGGUUCCACCAAGUAAAUCUUUUCCGUUGUUUAACCGAUGUGUCCCACAAAAUCCUGAGUGCUAUUCCAAAUAUGCAUCUGUCUUAAUAAGUAUGGUGAAUGAAAUGGAUGUCUUUCACCGAAUUCUGAGUGGAAUAUUGGCAGGAAGAGAUACUGUGAUAGGAAUGAGUUUCCUUGCACUAGCCUUCUCCUUUAUGCUGGUUUUAGCCUUCAGAUUCAUUCGGACCCUUCUGGUCCAUACUUUGGUUGCACUGGUUGUGUUCGGGCUGUUGUUUGUCUCAGGUGUUCUCUGGUGGCUCUAUUAUGACUACAGGAAUGAUCCCAGCACUGAACUGGAAACAGAAAAGGAAAAUGUAAAAUUUUUACUUGGAUAUGCUGUCUUCUCGACAAUAGUUACCGUUGUUCUGCUUUCCCUUAUGUUUGUACUAAGAAGGAGGCUUCAGUUCACUGUACAGCUCUUUCGGAUUGUUGGUAAAAUCAUUGGCAGAAUUCCUUUCCUCCUGUUCCAACCACUCUGGACCUUUCUGAUUCUCAUUGUGUUCUGGCUGUUUUGGGUUGCUGUACUACUUAGUUUAGGAACUGCAGGUACUGCGCAGACUGCUUCAGGAGGACAGGUAGAAUACAGAGCUCUGUCCGGAAUUUCCUACAUGGCAUGGUAUCAUUUCGUUGGCCUUAUCUGGACUAGUGAAUUCAUUCUUGCCUGUCAGCAGAUGACAAUUGCGGGGGCAGUGGUUACUUGUUACUUCAACAGAAAUAAAAAUAACCCACCACCUCACCCAGUCCUGUCUUCCAUAUCAGUUCUUUUUUGCUAUCAUCUAGGAACCGCUGUAAAAGGCUCUUUUCUAAUCGCAAUACUGAGAAUACCAAGGAUUGUUCUCUUGUACCUUUAUAAUAUCCUAAGACAAAAGGAGAGUGCAUGUGCAAAGUGCCUGUUCAAGUGCUGUUUCUGCUGGUUUUGGUGCCAGGAAAGUUGCUUAAGAUACUUUAACCAGCAUGCGUACACAACUACAGCCAUAAAUGGGACAAACUUUUGUACGUCAGCAAAGGAUGCUGUCUUUAUUUUGGCGAAGAAUUCUGCUAAACUUGCAUCCAUUAGCUGUUUUGGAGAUUUUAUCCUAUUUCUAGGAAAGGUAUUUGUUGUGUGUUUUACUGUUUUUGGAGGAUUGAUGGCAUUUAACUACCAUCGGGAGUUGCAAGCUUGGGUCGUUCCUCUUCUGCUGGUUGGAUUUUUUGCCUACCUGAUGUCCCACAGCUUUCUGUCUGUGUUUGAAGUGACAGCAGAUGCCAUGUUCCUUUGCUUUGCUAUUGAUAUGGAAACAAAUGACGGAUCUGAAGAGAAGCCAUACUUCAUGGAUCAGGAACUGCUGGGCCUUGGGUGAAGAGAGGACUUCCCACGGGGGUAAGGAGUCUUCCAAGCAGGGCAGGCUGUAUAACCUUGUAUGGAAAAAUUGAGGGCCACACAUCCAAACUCCUCCUCAUUGCAUGAUCAAGAACCUUCAUGAGUCAGAGUAACAAGUUGACAGAAGGGCAAAAACACAGAAGCACGAGACCUUUCCAGGACAAUGAAGAUGGGACAGAGCUCCAGCCUAUGACUUGAAUGUGAAGCGCACCAGGAAGCAUGAAGGCAAACCAGCAAUAGCAAAAACAGUCAUGGAAAAGAAGUAAAGGUUGCCAGUACCCCAGGACAAAGUGUUAAUUCUCUAAAUAUCUGUUGUACCUUCUGCACUGGUAAAAUGACGCACAAUCUGUUUGUAUGAAUAAUGUAUUUUGUGUGUCAGCACACCUGAUUUUUAUUAAUAUACUCGUUAUAAUGGUCUGAAAAUUGUUAAUAAACACACUCCUUGUAAAUUUCUGUGUUGUCAG